GGAUACCCGAGGGAAACUUCGGUUAAUACGGUAUAAGACCACACUACCGCAUGGUAGAGGGGUAAAAGGGGCAACCUGGUAUGAGAUGGACUCGCGCCGCAUUAGCUAGUUGGUGAGGUAACGGCCCACCAAGGCGACGAUGCGUAGCCGACCUGAGAGGGUGAUCGGCCACAUUGGGACUGAGAUACGGCCCAGACUCCUACGGGAGGCAGCAGUGGGGAAUAUUGGGCAAUGGAGGAAACUCUGACCCAGCAAUGCCGCGUGAAUGAAGAAGGUCUUCGGAUUGUAAAGUUCUUUAGUCAGGGAAGAAGUCAAUGACGGUACCUGAAGAAUAAGCUCCGGCUAACUACGUGCCAGCAGCCGCGGUAAUACGUAGGGAGCAAGCGUUGUUCGGAAUGACUGGGCGUAAAGGGUGCGUAGGCGGUUGUACAAGUUAGAAGUGAAAUACCCAGGGCUUAACUCGGGUGCUGCUUCUAAAACUGUAUGACUUGAGUGCAGUAGAGGUUAGUGGAAUUCCUAGUGUAGCGGUGGAAUGCGUAGAUAUUAGGAGGAACACCAGAGGCGAAGGCGGCUAACUGGACUGCAACUGACGCUGAGGCACGAAAGUGUGGGGAGCAAACAGGAUUAGAUACCCUGGUAGUCCACACUGUAAACGAUGGAUACUAGAUGUAGGAGGUAUCGACUCCUUCUGCGUCGCAG
rnacentral:rRNA from 1 species